AUCUCCCUGGCUAAGAUGGUGAAGCAUCUGCCUACAGUGCAGGAGACCUGGGUUCGAUCCCUGGGUGGGAAA
rnacentral:tRNA from 1 species